UACGUAGGGGGCAAGCGUUGUCCGGAAUUAUUGGGCGUAAAGAGCGCGUAGGCGGUCCGAUAAGUCGGCUGUGAAAGUCAUGGGCUCAACCCAUGAAAGCCGGCCGAUACUGUCGGACUAGAGUUCGGAAGAGGCAAGUGGAAUUCCCGGUGUAGCGGUGAAAUGCGUAGAUAUCGAGAGGAACACCUGCGGCGAAGGCGGGUUGCUGGGCUGAUACUGACGCUGAGGCGCGAAAGCCAGGGGAGCGAACGGG
rnacentral:rRNA from 1 species